CAAAAAUCUGUUCAAGCACUCGACAAGGAAAACGAUUAUACAGAUGAAGGUCUUCUAAUUACUCAGGAAAUUGGGAACAACAAUGAAAUGGAAGAAAUGGUUUUUCCUGCUGAAGAACUUAACUUUGAAAUACAAGAUAUGCAUGAAAUAGUUCCUUUUGUUGAAGAUAGACAGAACGUUGAAGGUAU